CCCAGGAUGCCCCUGGGCGAUAGCUGUGGGCGUCCGGGCGGGGAGGAAGCGAGAGCCGGUGGGUUCCCGCCUGGAGUUCCGAGAAGGGGCCUGCGGAGCUCUUCUUCAAUGGGGCGUCAGGCCUGUGGGUGCGAGUCCAACCUGCAGAGUUAACGAUGCUGCUUUUCCUCCUCCAGCCCUAAUCAAGUCGGCAACUCUGCUCACCUUGAAACCGAAACAAGCAGCCUUGACUGAUGUGCUCCCAGACCAAGAAACUGCUAUUCUGCGAAAGGGUCAAAGCAGUAAAUUUCUUAUGUUAACCCCACAAAAUGGUCUGAAAACCCGAUAAGAAACUUAGUGUCUCUUUGAAAAUAAACACUUAGAGACCAUAUGGUAGAUCCACAUCCCUAGCUCUUGGUCUCUCAAUUGCCUAUAAAUUCCCUAGACAAUGCACCACCACAGACUCUCCUGUCCCAUCCUGGGGCAUAAGCCGGCAGCUCUGUUCUUUCACUUUAUCUCUAAAUAAAAGCCUGUUGACUGUU